UGGGCUCUGAGGCUCUGACAUGUAGGGCUUUCAGCCAACUGUGCUGAGGGAUGACAUACAUGUAGGGAGGAUGGAGGAGAGUCUUAAAACAUCAGUGUGUCAGCAGCUUUCUCUCUCUCUCUCCACGGUGGGCUGUCAUACAUGAACAACAUCUCCCUACAGCAUGCUGCACUGCAGAUAGCUGCCGGAGAAAGCAACGCUGGAGGAAAAAACUGGAAAGCAUGAGGGACUUUUAUGAAGGCGUGCGCUCCUCAAAGCCAGGAUUCAAUAAUUGCUUUCCUCUUGUCUCACGCAAGUGACAGAUGGUGAGGCCACCAGAGGCCUGAAGAUGGGAAUAAUAUUGUUGAUUAAAAAGAAAUAUAGGAAACAACAUGCAGCUGUUGGCUACAAUACAGACGAGGGAAGACAAAAAAGAAAGAGGAAAGAGAGAAAAUAGGACUAGAUGGAGCUUGGGAACAAGUAUCAGUAAUGACACAAUUAAACUUGGCUGGUCCACACACAUUUGGAUUGGAGAUUGUUUGAACUGCCGAUAUGUGAAGUUUGGGGGUAGAGAUUUUAUUGUUUGACUGAUUUAUUCUUGGUGAGUCCUGCGGGAUUGGGAGUUGUGUUCCAGAUAUUUAUGAAAGUAGUUAUUUAUUUGGCUCUGUGCAGUCUGGUGUUCAGACCACCCUUCAAACAUGAACGCCCACCUGCAUAUGUUACGCUGUGUGCCUGUUUGUGCUCGUGUGUGAGGGGAAAAAAGAAAAGAGUCUUGAUGAUUUUUCAAGAGUGCCUAAGAUUUAGAUGGACUAAAACAUAUCAAUAUCUUCUGCCUUGUGUGCGUGAGCUGGUAAGUGUGAGGGUAAUUGUUUCCCAGAGCUCUUUGCUGGUAUCAAGGGAAAUUUAACACUUUUAAUGGCAAAUGCUGAUGCUGAGCUCUGUUCCUUUUUCUGCUAUGAGCAUCAAAGCCUGGAGUCACACUGCGAAGCCUCUUUUGCAUAGACUAAUGUAGUAAUUGUCUUUCUUAGGCAUCUUUCAAAGGACAGAAAACUUAAAGUCACAGCCAGAGAUCCAGUAUCUUUUUAGUUCACAUCCAUCAUAAAGCUGCUGACUCCACCAAUCCAAUUUAUGAUCCCCGUCAACACAAAUGUUACAAAAAGACUGAAAGUAUAGAAAUUUGUGACAAAGUAAACGGCAAAAUAAACAUAAAUUAAAGUCAUACAUCACCAGUUUGGUUAUUUUAAAUGGAGUACAGAUAAGUUUCAGUGAAAUCGCCACCCAGUCAGUUUAGGUGCAGGUUUAAUGGUUUAACACUGUAACGUUAUCUUUCCCGUGAACUAGGAAACACAGAACAGUAACAGGAAACAAUAAAUCUGCUCUACAGCCAUGAUUCAAUAACAGAAAGUCUUUGUAUCCUCCAAAUUCCUCUCUGAUGUUAUACAUUUCUGCAAUAGUAAUGUCCCUAAGACUGCAUGAAACCAGAGCUACUGUAUUUAUCAUUUAUGGAAUAAUAAGCAUGCACACUGGGCGUCAGCUGCGUUGUGCGUUGACUGGAUAAGAAGCAAAAUAAGCCAGUGUGAUCAGGGGAGGGAUCGAGUGAGAUUAAAAGAUUUAAGGCUCCAUUUGCCCAUGAAUAUCUGAUGCCUAUCUGAGGCGAGAGCCAGUGAUCCUCUGUCAGGUCGUGAGGUGUCAGAGGAAAUCUACCUUAUCUGCAUCUGGCCACUUUUCAACAGUUUCUUAUGUGAAUGUGCCGCCACAUUCCUGUUGUGCCGAAGAGUUAUGCAGCAGCUGUUUGCAUCAAAUGAAAACUGUUCCUCUCAUCUUAAA